rnacentral:rRNA from 1 species
AGUCAUAUGCUUGUCUCAAAGAUUAAGCCAUGCAUGUCUAAGUCCAAGCUGUGUUCACACGGCGAGACCGCGGACGGCUCAUUAAAUCAGUCGUGGUCCAAAUGGGCCAGUGCAAAUCCUACUUGGAUAACUGUGGUAAUUCCAGAGCUAAUACAUGCAACUGAUAUCCCGAAGGCGGUGUUGGGGCUUGCUUGCCUUGCGCUGCGCUGCUCUGACGGAUGCUUUUAUUAGACCAAGCCGCUGAGGACUUGAGGGUUCGCGCUCUCUUGUUUGACUCGUGUGAUGGUGACUCUGGAUAACCAAAUUCUGACAAGCGCACGUACUUCUCUUCUGAGCGAGACGGCGCUGCCACUUUCGAGUGUCUGCCUUAUCAGCUAUCAACCGUUCGUUAUGCGCGACCGAUGGCUUUGACGGGUAACGGGGAAUCAGGGUUCGAUUCCGGAGAGGCAGCCUGAGAGACGGCUACCACGUCCAAGGACGGCAGCAGGCACGCAAAUUACCCAAUCCCAGCAAAUGGGGGAGGUAGUGACGAAAUCUAACGAUGCGGGCGCCCUUUCUGGGGCCCCGCAAUCGGAAUGGGCACUUUCUAAACAACCUGUUGAGAACCUACUGAAG